AACGCACAUUGCGCCCGCCAGUAUUCUGGCGGGCAUGCCUGUCCGAGCGUCAUUUCAACCCUCGAACCCCUCCGGGGGGUCGGCGUUGGGGAUCGGGAACCCCUAAGACGGGAUCCCGGCCCCGAAAUACAGUGGCGGUCUCGCCGCAGCCUCUCAUGCGCAGUAGUUUGCACAACUCGCACCGGGAGCGCGGCGCGUCCACGUCCGUAAAACACCCAACUUCUGAAAUGUUGACCUCGGAUCAGGUAGGAAUACCCGCUGAACUUAA
rnacentral:misc_RNA from 1 species